GGCCUCAUAGUCUAGUCUGGAUAUGACAUCACCCUCCUAAGGUGAGGAUCGGGAGUUCGAAUCUCCCUGGGGUCG
rnacentral:tRNA from 1 species